UAUCAGACUCGGGCAAAACCUGGAAAGAUGUCUGGAUCAGGUCCCAGUGGACAUCAAGCCAUUUCAGUUCUUGGUUGGCUACGGAGAUGUGAAGCAUUUCCUUCAAAGCACGGUCCUUGAAAACAUCAGGACAGAAGAGAUGCAGCUCAGUGUGUUUGAUCACGGAGUGAGAUACCAUCUUACAAAAAAACAGAAGCAAAUUUUCUCAACUUGCUGGCAAAUGAAGGAGCUCUGGACUGACAGCCAGGCAGAACGCUUGUUGCCAUACAAUAGGUGUUCUCGCCACGCUGCAGACAAGCUGCAGGCGGAGAUGUUUCCACAAAAACGCUGUCCUUUCACAGGCAAACCUUUGCUGGGAUUACGUACGCUGGAGGAUGGUGAACUGGAUCACGUAAGUGACCUACAAAAAUGAUUCUGUGUCGUUUUAUCGAUCCAGUAAAUUCUUCUCUGGAGGGAACCUGCACAUCUAAACCACUCCCUUUGUCCAGUUCAGAUCCAAACCUGGCCUUUUUCCAAGUGAGAAAUGUUGCUGUAGUAAGCAGAAGCCACAGUAGUGCUUUGUGUUACAAAGGCUUCUGGAUGCCUUUUGGAUGCCAGGAGCAGGCUGAGAGGAAAAUAUUGUAUGAGGAAAGGUACCCUCAGUGUUACAUCGUACUGCUAGCUCUAGCUGCAAGUGGAGCAGAAAAGACCAUUAACAGGGAUAAAAAGUUCUCUUCUUCAGAACGCUUCUGUGUGUCCCUUGGGAGGUAAAGGAGUGUAGGUCAGCCCAACAUCUGUAAAGAGGUCUUGGUCAAGGUGUUGAGACAUGCCAACAAGAUAGUAAAACACCUUCUCUGCUUUUGCUUUGUUUAUGGUUACCUUUCAGACUUCAGCUACUGCAGCCCCAACUAUCAGCAAGCAUCGUAGUAUUUCAGGUGCGGAGGAAAACCAGCAUAACUGGUAGUUCUGGAAAAUGUGUAGUCUAAGAGGUCUGUCCUGCAUCACCGUUAUUAUGGGGGUGUGGUGGACUGGGUAGCUCACCUGCUUCUGCAGAAGCAGUCCUUAUGGUGGAAGUUAGUUGUAGAAGGUAAAGCCCAAAGAGACCAAAGGCAAGCAAGGAUGAACUGGUAAGGCCAAUAGCGUUGAAUACCAGAAUGAUGUCCUGUUCCCCCAUCCCUCUGCGCAUAAAAGUCAUAUAGCAGAGCCAGGGGAAGGGAAACUUCCAACUGCUUGGCAGCUCUCUGAAAUCUCCAACUACUGUAAAUGUGCAGCUCACAGCAGAGAGUAUCUUUCCAAUUAAUUUUUACAGGACAGGCACACUGCCCUUAAGUGUACAAGAAAUUAACAACUUGAAACCAAAGGAUGGCAAAGGUCUAAUAACAAAGCAAGAUGAAUACCUUGAUAUUUUUCAAGUGUAUCUGUAGAAUUCAUUUGAUAAAGUAUAUAGGGCUAAUACAUUACCAUCCAGAGUACUUCUGCUGUUGUCUCCUUAGCUAUUGUUUUGCUACAAUGCACCUUCAUUAUGCUUUCAACCCUUAACUGCUAUGUUGCUGCCAUCUUGAGAAAGAGGAGGAGGAGAAUCCCAUGGCAAGAGAUCUUUCAAGUAGCAGGCAAUUCACUACAGAAAAUGCCACUUUGAAACUGCUAAUGCAGUCUUUUUGUAACCAGUCUCCCUUGAGGAAAGUGGCAUUGUUUGCAAUUUAUUCCAAGAACUGCCCCCAGAUGAGGACUGAAGUUAGUUGGUUGGGGUUUUUUUCUCUCUGUGUAAAUAUAUAUAUAUACACACACACACACACAUGCAGUUGUUUUAAUGUAAACUAACAACAAAUAAUUUCAUCCUAGACAAAUCUUUCAGACCUAGGUAUCUGCCCACAGGUUAAUCUCUUCUAGGGCUUCACUCCAGAAUCUUCCAGAGAAAACUGCAUAGUGCAAAUGCACUAGAUCUAGUCAGCAUGUCCUACCUGUACUUGAAUUAUGAUGCACAUUGAGUGGAGGCUACUGCUUCAUAAAAGCUAAAUCCCUGUGGUCACCCUUCCUGUCCCCAGUUGUAACGGCUACCUCCUACCCCUCUCUCAAGUACUACUGCAUGAAGUGUGUAAUGUGAGGCACAAUUAUAUAUCCAUAUUGUACUCUUUUGAGUUAUGGUUCUUGGGAUGCAGAACAAAAACAAACCAAAACCCAGUUCUGUAGACAGAAAGCAAAGCUUAUCUACUUGAGGUAAAAGUUGCAGCUCACUGUACUGCUUCACCAAUAUAACUCUCAUAAUAUGAACUGCUAGGAUUUUCACCAAUGGCAAUAAUUCAUAUAAGUAAUCUCUGUAGGGUACUGUACUGAUAUGGCGCAUACAAUCUGAGUAACGGUCCUACGCAUAGGCAGAUCUCAGUCUUCAACUGCAAAAGUACCUCUUUGUAUCCAAUAUCGUAUUUGAAAUACUCCUAUGACUGCUUGGGUUAAUCUCUUCCUGAGUAGACACUAAGCAUCUGGGCAGCCAUCAUGGUGUCGUCUUACCUGGAGCUACGACCAGAGCUCAGGCAGCUUUGUCUCCCAGCUCUGCUGAUUUACUUUCAGAGAAGCAUUAGGUGCAGUUGCUACCACAGAUGUUAACCUAGGUAACACAAAAAUCACAGGAAAUGCCAACUAUUCUUCAAAGUGCAAGACUGUGUCUAGUAAGUACUCUUUGUAACACCUGUCACAGAGAC